rnacentral:rRNA from 1 species
GUCGAGCGGUAAGGCCUUUCGGGGUACACGAGCGGCGAACGGGUGAGUAACACGUGGGUGAUCUGCCCUGCACUCUGGGAUAAGCUUGGGAAACUGGGUCUAAUACCGGAUAUGACCACAGCAUGCAUGUGUUGUGGUGGAAAGAUUUAUCGGUGCAGGAUGGGCCCGCGGCCUAUCAGCUUGUUGGUGGGGUAAUGGCCUACCAAGGCGACGACGGGUAGCCGACCUGAGAGGGUGACCGGCCACACUGGGACUGAGACACGGCCCAGACUCCUACGGGAGGCAGCAGUGGGGAAUAUUGCACAAUGGGCGGAAGCCUGAUGCAGCGACGCCGCGUGAGGGAUGAAGGCCUUCGGGUUGUAAACCUCUUUCAGCAGGGACGAAGCGUGAGUGACGGUACCUGCAGAAGAAGCACCGGCUAACUACGUGCCAGCAGCCGCGGUAAUACGUAGGGUGCGAGCGUUGUCCGGAAUUACUGGGCGUAAAGAGUUCGUAGGCGGUUUGUCGCGUCGUUUGUGAAAACCCGGGGCUCAACUUCGGGCUUGCAGGCGAUACGGGCAGACUUGAGUGUUUCAGGGGAGACUGGAAUUCCUGGUGUAGCGGUGAAAUGCGCAGAUAUCAGGAGGAACACCGGUGGCGAAGGCGGGUCUCUGGGAAACAACUGACGCUGAGGAACGAAAGCGUGGGUAGCAAACAGGAUUAGAUACCCUGGUAGUCCACGCCGUAAACGGUGGGCGCUAGGUGUGGGUUCCUUCCACGGGAUCUGUGCCGUAGCUAACGCAUUAAGCGC